AAAUGAAUUGACGGGAGCCCGCACAAGCAGUGGAGUAUGUGGUUUAAUUCGACGCAACGCGAAGAACCUUACCAGGAUUUGACAUCCCUUGACCAGGGCGUAAUGGCCCGUCUUGGACUUCGGUCUGACAAGGUGACAGGUGGUGCAUGGUUGUCGUCAGCUCGUGUCGUGAGAUGUUGGGUUAAGUCCCGCAACGAGCGCAACCCUUACGGUCAGUUACUACGAAAGAGGACUCUGGCCGGACUGCCGUUGACAAAACGGAGGAAGGUGGGGAUGACGUCAAAUCAUCAUGCCCCUUAUAUUCUGGGCUACACACGUACUACAAUGGCGAAAACAAAGGGGAGCAAAACCGCGAGGUGGAGCAAAUCCCAAAAAAGUCGUCCCAGUUCGGACUGCAGGCUGCAACCCGCCUGCACGAAGUUGGAAUUGCUAGUAAUCGCGGGUCAGCAUACCGCGGUGAAUACGUUCCCGGGCUUUGUACACACCGCCCGU
rnacentral:rRNA from 1 species